GCGCGAGCUGCGCCUCUCCAGCUCUCAACGUCUCAACUGCUGUUCAUCGCCAGGGCUCUAAGACAGCGAGCCAUGUUCCUUCUUCUGGUGCUUCUCACUGGACUUGGUGGGAUGCAUGCAGACCUCAAUCCUCAUAAAAUCUUCCUGCAGACCACAAUUCCAGAGAAGAUUUCAUCAUCGGAUGCAAAAACAGAUCCAGAACAUAAUGUUAUUUACAUGAUUACCAUAGGGAAAGCCAUAUUUUGUCCAUCUCAAAAAGCAAUCAAUUUUAUCUUCAGCUUCUGUUAUUAAUUCUUAUGACGAAAAUGACAUCCGUCAUUCCAAACCUCUGCUAGUUCAGAUGGAUUGCAAUUAUAAUGGAUAUGUUGCGGGUAUUCCAAAUUCUCUUGUGACUCUCAGCGUAUGUUCAGGACUCAGGGGAACAAUGCAGCUGAAAAACAUCUCAUAUGGAAUUGAACCGAUGGAGGCUGUAUCAGGAUUUAUACACAAGAUUUAUGAAGAAAAAUAUGCUGACACUAAUAUUCUCUUAGAAGAAAAUGACACUUAUACUUGGUUUAAUUCAGAGUAUCAAGUCAGAAAAAGUUCAGAAAAAACUGACUUUAUUAAGUUAUUCCCUCGAUAUAUUGAAAUGCAUAUUGUUGUGGACAAAAAUUUGGUACUCUGGUGGUGUAAAGGAUUUUAACAUCUGUAGCUUGGAUGACUUUAAAUAUAUUUCUUCUCAUAAUGGCCUUACAUGUCUUCAGACAAACCCUCUUGAAAUGCCAACCUACACACACAGGAGAAUAUGUGGCAAUGGGUUGUUGGAAGGAAGUGAAGAAUGUGACUGUGGCACUAAAGACUUCAAACCGGCUAAUAUGAUUUGUAGGAAAUCAGUUGGUAAAGAAUGCGAUUUCACUGAAUAUUGCAAUGGGGACCUUCCAUACUGUUUGCCUGACACUUAUGUACGUGAUGGAGAAUAUUGUGAUUCAGGUGGAGCCUUCUGUUUUCAAGGAAAGUGUCGGACUUUUGACAAACAAUGUGAUGAUUUAAUUGGAAGAGGUUCAAGAGGUGCUCCGGUUUUCUGUUAUGAUGAAAUUAAUACCAGAGGAGACAAUUUUGGAAACUGUGGCACUGCACACUGUCUUUUUCAACAUAUUCUAUGUGGAAAAUUAGUCUGUACAUGGGAACACAGAGACUUAAUAUCACGUCCAAAUUUAUCUGUGAUUUAUGCACAUGUACGAGACCAAACAUGUGUGUCUACAUACCUACCCAGGAGGACGCCACCUCCAGUAAAUUCACCUAUUUCAAUCACAUCAUAUUAUUCAGCUGAAGACAGAGAUGAAACAUUUGUACAAGAUGGUUCCAUGUGUGGUCCUGAUAUGUAUUGUUUCGAAAUGCAUUGUAAACAUGUUAGAUUCCUGAUGAAUUUAAAAUUGUGUGAUGCUUCUAAUCAUUGUGAUCGUCAUGGAGUUUGCAACAAUUUUAACCAUUGCCAUUGUGAAAAGGGAUAUAAUCCUCCUUACUGCCAACCAAAGCAAGGAGCAUUUGGAAGUAUUGAUGAUGGACACUUAGUACCACCAACUGAGAGAAGUUACAUGGAGGAGGGAAGAUAGGCCACUUUUCAAAAACAACGGUUUCAACUCAUUUUCUACAUUUCUCUACCUGUGCUUCUUAUUACUACUGCCAUUUUAAUAAAACAGAAAAAAUUGAGAGAGCUAUGCUAUAGAGGGGAAAAUGAAAGUGAGAGCUCUGUGUCAGAAGAAAGCAGCAGUAACAGCAAGUCAUCCCUCAGUGAAAGCACCAGUCUCUAACAACCUUGAAUGCUACUGCUUGGAGAGAGGAGAGUAACAAAUACAUUAUCAGAAACUGGCCCAAACCAAGGAGGAACAAGACACAAUUUCUCUCUCAUUGCUCUUGUCACUGCUGAGGGUUUUAAACUAUGAAAUAAAUCAUCUGGCCUGAA
rnacentral:lncRNA from 1 species